CAUAUGUGGUAACUAACACAAAGGCUGUUAAAAUGUACUUUGCAUGCAUGAAGGAGGCAUUAUGACACUGAAGUUUGCUUUCAGCUGGGCUCUAAAUUUGUACGUGCAUGUGAGUGACUGUGAAGUGCUGCACAUUCUCAGAGCAGCAGACCGCCCUAUUCACAGUUUUGUGUUCAUGUCCAAAAGGUUACAAAGAAGUCUGAGCAUAUGCACAGCUGAAGAAGUUGCCACAUACCCGUCUCAGCAUUGACUGUGAGGAAAGACAGGAAGACAGAGGGGGAUGAGGAAAAAGAAGAUACAUCAGACAGAAAACAAUACAGCUACUGCAUUCAGUCUGAAAAUGAAUUAAAUUCUGGACUCUACGCUAGUUUUCUUUUUUCUUUUUUAAAUAACAGAAACAUUAAGAAUCUUUGUAAAACACACAUUGACCUUCAUCCUUCAGACACAAUUAACAUAUUCA